rnacentral:rRNA from 1 species
AGUGAACGCUGGCGGCAGGCCUAACACAUGCAAGUCGAACGGCAGCACAGUAAGAGCUUGCCCUUACGGGUGGCGAGUGGCGGACGGGUGAGGAAUACAUCGGAAUCUACUUUUUCGUGGGGGAUAACGUAGGGAAACUUACGCUAAUACCGCAUACGACCUACGGGUGAAAGCAGGGGAUCUUCGGACCUUGCGCGAUUGAAUGAGCCGAUGUCGGAUUAGCUAGUUGGCGGGGUAAAGGCCCACCAAGGCGACGAUCCGUAGCUGGUCUGAGAGGAUGAUCCGCCACACUGGAACUGAGACACGGUCCAGACUCCUACGGGAGGCAGCAGUGGGGAAUAUUGGACAAUGGGCGCAAGCCUGAUCCAGCCAUACCGCGUGGGUGAAGAAGGCCUUCGGGUUGUAAAGCCCUUUUGUUGGGAAAGAAAAGCAGCGGGUUAAUACCCCGCUGUUCUGACGGUACCCAAAGAAUAAGCACCGGCUAACUUCGUG